AACGAACGCUGGCGGCAGGCUUAACACAUGCAAGUCGAGCGCCCCGCAAGGGGAGCGGCAGACGGGUGAGUAACGCGUGGGAAUCUACCCAUCUCUACGGAAUAACGCAUGGAAACGUGUGCUAAUACCGUAUACGUCCUUCGGGAGAAAGAUUUAUCGGAGAUGGAUGAGCCCGCGUUGGAUUAGCUAGUUGGUGGGGUAAAGGCCUACCAAGGCGACGAUCCAUAGCUGGUCUGAGAGGAUGAUCAGACACACUGGGACUGAGACACGGCCCAGACUCCUACGGGAGGCAGCAGUGGGGAAUAUUGGACAAUGGGCGCAAGCCUGAUCCAGCCAUUCCGCGUGAGUGAUGAAGGCCCUAGGGUUGUAAAGCUCUUUCACCGGUGAAGAUAAUGACGGUAACCGGAGAAGAAGCCCCGGCUAACUUCGUGCCAGCCGCCGCCGUAAAAC
rnacentral:rRNA from 1 species